rnacentral:rRNA from 1 species
AGAGUUUGAUCCUGGCUCAGAUUGAACGCUGGCGGCAUGCUUUACACAUGCAAGUCGAACGGCAGCACGGGUGCUUGCACCUGGUGGCGAGUGGCGGACGGGUGAGUAAUGCAUCGGAACGUGUCCUAAAGUGGGGGAUAACGCAUCGAAAGAUGUGCUAAUACCGCAUAUUCUCUGAGGAGGAAAGUAGGGGAUCGAAAGACCUUAUGCUUUUGGAGCGGCCGAUGUCUGAUUAGCUAGUUGGUAGGGUAAUGGCUUACCAAGGCGACGAUCAGUAGUUGGUCUGAGAGGACGACCAGCCACACUGGGACUGAGACACGGCCCAGACUCCUACGGGAGGCAGCAGUGGGGAAUUUUGGACAAUGGGCGCAAGCCUGAUCCAGCAAUGCCGCGUGAGUGAAGAAGGCCUUCGGGUUGUAAAGCUCUUUCAGUUGAGAAGAAAAAGUUGUGACUAAUAAUCAUGAUUCAUGACGGUAUCAACAGAAGAAGCACCGGCUAACUACGUGCCAGCAGCCGCGGUAAUACGUAGGGUGCAAGCGUUAAUCGGAAUUACUGGGCGUAAAGGGUGCGCAGGCGGUUCUGUAAGUCAGAUGUGAAAUCCCCGGGCUUAACCUGGGAACUGCGUUUGAAACUGCAGAGCUAGAGUGCAGCAGAAGGAGGUGGAAUUCCAUGUGUAGCAGUGAAAUGCGUAGAGAUAUGGAAGAACAUCGAUGGCGAAGGCAACCUCCUGGGCUAGCACUGAC